UCACGUGGCUGGUAUGUCUUGAUGGGGUUGUUAUAAAACAGGGAAUGAGAAAUGAGGAAAUGAGGAAAUAAGAAAUAGGAAAUGAGGAAAUGAAGAAAUGAGAACGAGAAAUGAGCUGUUAGGCAGAGCAUAUCUAUGGGCAGAGCAAGUCUGAAGACGAAGCUAACAUCUACUGAGCAACAGGUACGUACCUCCUGGUGACAAGUCUCCUGGUGCUCUGCCACUAUACAGAACUUAUGUUCCUCUGGUACACGGUGUGACACUCUCUGCUUGUGUGCCAUGUACGACUGGCAUGGUUCAGACAUCAGAUCUACCUACCUAACGGUACUUACAUGUACUGUCCUACAGUCCCACAGUCUCAAACAAUUUACCUAUGCGUGGCUAUAUAUAAUUAUACUGGCAAUACAUUCACUGAUUUCACAAUCCGGUGGGCAAGUGAUAGUCAAUGGACUGGACUUAAUGUCAACAUCUACAUGUAAGUAACAGCAAAGAAACCUCCAAAACGUCAAACCAAGCAAAUUCUAAUGAUCUGCCAGUCCUGUCGUAAAGCUGCAGGAAGUGAAGAAAGCAAUUCCCAUUACCAUUCUCACAAGCAAUGCCUAAUGAAAGCUGAUGCUACCUUUAAUGAAGAAAGCUCACUGUGCCAUCUGAAGCGAUGGUAAAAUUUAAUUCUUACAAUGUGUCCGACAACCUGUACUGUGUGGAGGUGCCACUAUAAUUAUAUAUUUGAUAACUAAAUACUUAGUCACCUACUAGCUUCUUGGCUGAUAUCAGUCAUUACUUUUGUGCAUCUAUAAUUAUAAUAAUUAGUACAACCAGUAGGUUAGUACAACCAGUAGGUUGUACAUAGGAUUGACAGUGCAGUUGUGUGUGUUUUCAAUUAUUGCACAAAUUUUGACUUGUGUUUAGACUGCUCUAUUUCUGCAGGGAAGGACCACAGCAAGAAACUGAGUUGACAGAUAGCUUAGUUAGCCUUUUAUCUGUCUAAAUGUGUGAAAUUAUAGUCAAUGAAUAUUCUCAUGCAUUACUAUUGAUAUUUGAAAAAUUGCA